rnacentral:rRNA from 1 species
AGAGCGAACGCUAGCGGCGGGCCUAACACAUGCAAGUCGAGCGCAUACCUUCGGGUAUGAGCGGCGGACGGGUGAGUAACACGUAGGUAAUCUGCCCUGUGGGUGGGGG